AUAGGCUCCGUUGUGGUCCUAGGGGGACUCUGCCGCGUGAUGACGUCAGAACACGGCUUCCGGCGGGAGGGGCGGCAGAGGUCCGGCUGCGCCUCGCGUGGUGCCGCCCUUCCCCCCUGGCCCGCGGUGACCGUGGCUGGUGCGCGUUUUCCUCUGUUCUGUGGCCCGAGGGCUCUGCAGUCGGCUUCCCGGAAUGGCGAAGUCCUGGGGAGGCUUGUCUACAAAUACAGAGGCUGUUUCCCCACAUGCAGGAGUGGCCAUGAGACUGGGCCUGACCAGAGAGAUUCAAGAGGAAGUCUGCUGAUUGAUCUAUUGGGACUGUGAAGGGCUAUUUCUUGGAUCCUCACCUUAACUGUGGUGGAGCUCCUGGAGGUAAAGCCCAUGAAAGUAUGGGAGCCCCACUAAGACUGUAGUCUGCAGGAGUUUCUCCCUCUCAAAUUAGUCUGCACUCAGCCUCCAGAAAUUCAUCAUAAUUACAAUUACAUGUUCCUACCAGUUUAUAGUUCCAGUGGCUUCUGCUCCAGCUCUGUGAGAUGAGAAAACUGAAGCUCAGAGGUUGAGUAACUUGCCCAUGAACCUACAACUAUAAAAGAACGCUCAUCUGCCCGUAUUGGUUUCCAUGAGAGAUGACAGGAAAAGAUUCUCUAAAACUAUUGAAUGGAGACUUCCCAACACUGAGUCUGGCCUCCCUGUCAGAAUCAUCGUCCAUCUCAGCUGAGUCUCCCAGGCACUUUGCC
rnacentral:lncRNA from 1 species